CAUCUUAAACGUUAAACCUUUAUUUGUGUCCAUUUGAUUGUGAUAUAUUUUAGGCCUUACAUUUUCAACGGACAUUUAUCAGUAGCCCCUGCAAGGAAACCCCAUCGCGUCAGAACAGGUGCCGCGCCACGGCUGACGAAGCCUCCAUUUUGAAUUAAGACUUCUUGAUUGAGGUCAUAGGCCUAAAUUUACAACGGACAUUUAACAGAAGCCCCUGCAAGGAAACCCCACUGCCUCAGAACAGGUGCCAGGGCUGACGAAGCCUCCAUUUUGAAUUAAGACUUCUUAAUUGAGAGUUGGUGGCUGAACGGAGUACUACAGAGCACCCUAUCCUGUGAGUCAUAUGAACUGGACCUGCAAGUUCUGCUCAUUUUCUUCUGCUAAUCAACGCAGCAUAAUAAGGCAUUAUAAGAUAAAACACGGGCACUAUAGUAGAUCUUGCCCCUUGCCUUGCAUCUAUAGUGACUGUUUGUGUUCUUUUAAGACACAGGUUGCUCUUAAAAACCAUUUGUUGAAGCAUAAAACAUCAGUAGUUCAUCAGUCUCAGGCAACUGUUACCCAUGAAUCUCAGUCCAGUGUGGUAACUCAUCGGUUACGGUGUGAAUUGUGUGUGUUUUCUGAGCCAUGUACUAUUAAGCAAUACUUUGCUCAUUUGGGAACUCAUUUGAAGAGUAAAGAAACCGUUAUCUGUCCUUUUGAGCAGUGUCAGUUUAAGUCUAAUGUGUAUUCCACCUUUACUGGGCACAAAUGUAGAUAUCACUGUAAUUAUGGGAUUAACAAUUUAAGACCUGAACUAAUUUGUAAUCACAGUCCAGCAGAAACCAGUGAGGAACAAAUAGGAGAUGUGGUUUCAGUAGAAUAUGAUGACUCUCCAAAUGAUGA